GGGAGGCUGUCGCUCGGGUCCGGCUGCGGGCCACAGGCCGCGGAUCGCGCUCUGCCAGCGCCCCACGCCCGCAAGCGCGGCCCCUCCGCCACCUCGCGGCCCGGCCUGACCUGUUAAUCACGUCCCCACGGCUCUCCUAGCGGGGACACCGCCGUCUGCAGGCUCCGUCCCCACAGUGCCCAGACCCCGGGAAGUUUGUCAGUCAGCACCCUGAUGCCAGCCGAUUCUCAAAAAGCCAGGAGGAUCCAAGCAGAUGAUUUGCCAGACGGUACUGCAGCAAUGGAGAUGAACAGAUAAUUCACACAGAAAGAAGGACGAGGGAUUGGAUCAAGCUGGGGCGAGAUAGAGUGGGGAAGUGAUGAGCUAAGAAAAAUUAGCCUGCAAGCAUGACGUGUCGCACGUCAGCAAGGCUGCAGCCUUGGAUUCUGAUGUCUUGAGAAGAGCGAUUCACCUGUGAAUUCUCACAGCCCUGGCCUCAGAAAGACGGCCCGGGACCAGGCCCGAUGGCACCCCUCUUCCCAGCUCUCAGCCAGGGCGGAAGGCACAAGUGAUGGCCCUGGCCUCCGCAGUCACACUCCUCCUGAAAGCUGACUGGCUGAACCUCACCUCUUGGCUAGCUUGCCACCCAGCUCUUGAGAACAUGUUUGUCCAAGGCCUCUUGGCAGGUCUCGAUGACUCCUUCCCCUAAGGGCCCCCAGUCACCUGCUAAGGCUCCCAGGCCCCUGUGAAACUGGCUCGGUGCCCCAAUAGACUCUCCACCUCCAGACCCUAAGCCGGCCAGCCCAGAGUGCAGCAAGGCACCACACCUACCCUGUGAGGGCACUCGGGCCCCGCGCUGGCCUCUGACAGCACAGGAAGCUUCUGCAUUCACGCUGAGGCCUGUCUUUUGCCUUCCUUAGAUAAACUUGCCAGAAACCCCAUAGUGCUUCAGGCCUUUGGGAUAAUUCCCCUGAGCCCCAUAGGCCAGGGCCUGGCAUUCAGUAGUUGCUCUAAAAUUGUGUUUUCACCCACUCUCUUCCAGGUAGUCAGGACAGGGAAGCCCAGGCUUCUGGUCACCACUCACCAAAUCUCUCCCCUGCCCCUCUAUCAGGGAUCAGCUCCUAUAGGCCUUAACCUAGCAGACUAGGUAAAGCAGAGCUGGUGGCAUCAAGGGUCCCGGGGGCUGCAGAGCCCUGGCUGGUACAGGAGGCUGGGCUCUCCUGUAGGUCUGCACCUUCCCAGCAACGCGGAGGGCACCAGACCCUGCCUGCUCCAGAGGCUGUACCUGAAAGAUGAAGUGCUCGUCAAACUGCGGGUUGGAGGUUUUGCGUUUGGUCUUGGAUUGGAGGAAGCGCCGCUCAUCGGGCAGCAGGUAGAGCUUCACCAGGGGGCUGCAGGUCUCCGAGGGGGCUUGCAGGUGCUGUGCCUUGAUCAAGCCCACCAGCAGCCGCUCAGCCUCCUGCUCAUAUUCCACCGAGAACCACAGCCGCCCCAGGCAGCCGUCGGGGAAGUCGGUCUCACUUUUGUCCUCCGGGAACUUGUACAGCUCUGGGUUGAUGGCCCCCACCAUACAUGCAUCUCCUAUGACAGAGGGUGGGAGGGCUGGCAGGCCAGAGGAAGGCAGGGGCAUGGGAGACAGUGGCAAGCUCUGGGCACCCAUCCCCAUCCUGGCCCAUCCGUCUCUGCUGAGCCUCAGCUAGCCUGACCACAUCUGCCCCACUCUCCUCACCAGGCUAAACACAUCCCCUCUCUCUGGUGCAGCUCCUCCAAGAAGCCUUCUCACCAUGAAGGCAUUGCAUGGCCAGGCUGGGGAUCCAGCAGAGUCCUGCCCCCUGGGAUUGGCCCCCAUCCUUGGAGGUCAGGACCUGUUUCAAGGACACAGUGCCCAUCACCUGGCCUAGCCCCCUUCCAUGGCGUCUAGGGAAUGACUCAGCGAUAAAACAUUGCCUUUCUUCUUCCUCUUCAAAUUAGAAGGGCCAAGGUGAUUAUUGGGUGGUUCCUGUGAUGGUCUCUUGGUAGAUCUUCAGGGCAAAGAGGUGGCAGAAAGCUGUGUUUGCAGCCCCUACCAUUCUGUCCUCUUGGUCAACCAACCCAUCAUCCUAGAGUGGGACCCAGCACAAGUUCUGUACAUGGCGUGCCUGGGUUCCAAUUCCAAUCUGUUGCUUACAGCCUCAGUUAAGACUAUGUAAAAUGGGGUGAUAAUUCCUCCCCCUCAGAGUCAUGGUGAGGUCUCACUCCAAAUCAGCACCCAAGGCCAUAUCUUACCCUCAUGGGGUGCAGCAAGCACUUCAUAAAUGAAAGCACCCAGAAAGAGUGGUCCCUGGGUGGUCCCUGGCAUCCCUGGCUGGUUCAGGUUGUGUUCCGGAGCCAAGCUGGUGAAAGCAGAUGGGGCCACCCGAGCAGACCCUGACCUCUGGGCAGCCCUGGCAAGGACACUCACCAAGGCCGCCGCUGGAGGUGUGAGGCAGCAGCUCUGAUGCCGGGCAGGGGUCCCAUGGGGCAUCGGCCCACUCUCCACUGUGCAGGGGCACCCAAUCUCGGCCUUGAAGGGUUGGGGGCACCACGAAUGGCACAGCUGGUGGCCUGUCCAGAGUCAGGGAGACAACAUGUAGGUGGCAAGUCAAUGGUGUGGUCUCAGAGCGCUCAGCCAGGACGGUUGAGCACCAGGGGCUGGAGGAAGAAAAGCCAUCGGGAGCCAGGAGGAGGCCAGGGCACCAUUUUCUGGGCCCAUACCAGGCAACACACACACACACACACGCACACACACAC
ensembl:lncRNA SYT15-AS1 SYT15 antisense RNA 1